rnacentral:rRNA from 1 species
AAAGAUUAAGCCAUGCAUGUCUAAGUAUAAGCAAUUAUACAGCGAAACUGCGAAUGGCUCAUUAUAUAAGUUAUCGUUUAUUUGAUAGUACCUUACUACUUGGAUAACCGUGGUAAUUCUAGAGCUAAUACAUGCUAAAAAUCCCGACUUCGGAAGGGAUGUAUUUAUUAGAUUAAAAACCAAUGCCCUCUGGGCUCCUUGGUGAUUCAUAAUAACUUUUCGAAUCGCACGGCCUUGCGCCGGCGAUGGUUCAUUCAAAUUUCUUCCCUAUCAACUUUCGAUGUUUGGGUCUUGGCCAAACAUGGUCGCAACGGGUAACGGAGGGUUAGGGCUCGACCCCGGAGAAGGAGCCUGAGAAACGGCUACUACAUCCAAGGAAGGCAGCAGGCGCGCAAAUUACCCAAUCCCGAUUCGGGGAGGUAGUGACAAUAAAUACUGAUACAGGGCUCUUUUGGGUCUUGUAAUUGGAAUGAGUACAAUUUAAAUCUCUUAACGAGGAACAAUUGGAGGGCAAGUCUGGUGCCAGCAGCCGCGGUAAUUCCAGCUCCAAUAGCGUAUAUUAAAGUUGUUGUGGUUAAAAAGCUCGUAGUUGAACCUUGGGCCUGGCUGGCCGGUCCGCCUCACCGCGUGCACUGGUCCGGCCGGGCCUUUCCCUCUGUGGAACCCCAUGCUCUUCACUGAGUGUGGCGGUGAAACAGGACUUUUACUUUGAAAAAAUUAGAGUGCUCCAGGCAGGCCUAUGCUCGAAUACAUUAGCAUGGAAUAAUAAAAUAGGACGCGUGGUUCUAUUUUGUUGGUUUCUAGGACCGCCGUAAUGAUUAAUAGGGACAGUCGGGGGCAUCAGUAUUCAAUUGUCAGAGGUGAAAUUCUUGGAUUUAUUGAAGACUAACUACUGCGAAAGCAUUUGCCAAGGAUGUUUUCAUUAAUCAGGAACGAAAGUUAGGGGAUCGAAGACGAUCAGAUACCGUCGUAGUCUUAACCAUAAACUAUGCCGACUAGGGAUCGGACGAUGUUAUUUUUUGACGCGUUCGGCACCUUACGAGAAAUCAAAGUGCUUGGGCUCCAGGGGGAGUAUGGUCGCAAGGCUGAAACUUAAAGAAAUUGACGGAAGGGCACCACCAGGGGUAAACCGCUUCGCGCAGCCGCAGUAGCUCUGCCCCAGAAAGCAGCCCGAAAGGGUCAGUGGUGUUCCUGCCAGCGCUCCGGCGCGGCGAACUAAUUGCUAGUCUCCUCUGGAGGCGACACCCUCAAAUUGCGGGAAAAUCCUAAAGCCAGUGUCACCAAGCCGGCGCCGAAAGGGCGUCGGUGGCCGGGGUAGCGACCUAGGGUACGGUAAAAGCACACUGGAUAAUGCAAUGGACGAUCCGCAGCCAAGCCUCGUCGCCGCAGGGCACGGGGAAGGUUCAGAGACUACAUGGGGGUGGGUAGUGCACUGUCUGGGGGCUCCGGCCCCCGAGCGCCCGCUCACAACACUGCUUAAGAUAUAGUCCGGCCGUGCUGGAAACAGCACGGGCUGGCAAACCCAGAAACGGGAGCCUGCGGCUUAAUUUGACUCAACACGGGGAAACUCACCAGGUCCAGACACAAUGAGGAUUGACAGAUUGAGAGCUCUUUCUUGAUUUUGUGGGUGGUGGUGCAUGGCCGUUCUUAGUUGGUGGAGUGAUUUGUCUGCUUAAUUGCGAUAACGAACGAGACCUUAACCUGCUAAAUAGCCUGUAUUGCUUUGGCAGUACGCUGGCUUCUUAGAGGGACUAUCGGCUCAAGCCGAUGGAAGUUUGAGGCAAUAACAGGUUGACCUACACAGGCCUGUAACAGUAGUCCUCGUUAAAAUAUCUGCUAGUCCAUGUAACGUCUCUGUUGGGGCAGUCCCCUUCUAUCGGGCAGAGAGGAUUCGAAAGAGUCCUAGUUACGGGCGACACCACCUGGUACAGGGAACGCCGACCCAGGCACAUCAGCAAUGAUGUACUGGAGGCCGAUCCUGUGGCGAGCUCGGGUCACGCCGAGCCGUCGCAACGUGCGGAAAGGGGUGGGCCAGCAUAACCUGCUGGCUUAAGGUACGUACUAAUCCCAUGGGAAACCAUGCCCGUGCAGCAAGGCCCGAUAGGCUGAUCUGCACGGGGGCAGGCCACAGGCCUGCCGGCGUCGCCCGCGUAUGCGGGUGGACGAACAAAUGCUGUGAUGCCCUUAGAUGUUCUGGGCCGCACGCGCGCUACACUGACGGAGCCAGCGAGUACUUCCUUGGUCGAAAGGCUCGGGUAAUCUUGUUAAACUCCGUCGUGCUGGGGAUAGAGCAUUGCAAUUAUUGCUCUUCAACGAGGAAUCCCUAGUAAGCGCAAGUCAUCAGCUUGCGUUGAUUACGUCCCUGCCCUUUGUACACACCGCCCGUCGCUACUACCGAUCGAAUGGCUCAGUGAGGCGUCCGGACUGGCCCAGGGAGGUGGGCAACUACCCCCCCGGGCCGGGAAGCUCUCCAAACUCGGUCAUUUAGAGGAAGUAAAAGUCGUAACAAGGUCUCCGUUGGUGAACCAGCGGAGGGAUCAUUA